rnacentral:rRNA from 1 species
GCAAGUCGAGCGCGCCCUUCGGAGUGAGCGGCGGACGGGUUAGUAACGCGUGGGAACGUGCCCUUCUCUAAGGAAUAGCCACUGGAAACGGUGAGUAAUACCUUAUACGUCCUUCGGGGGAAAGAUUUAUCGGAGAAGGAUCAGCCCGCGUUAGAUUAGAUAGUUGGUGGGGUAAUGGCCUACCAAGCCUACGAUCUAUAGCUGGUUUGAGAGGAUGAUC